rnacentral:lncRNA from 1 species
UGAGGACUCAAAUACCAGGGAUGGUGAAUAGUUUCAUCCUAGCACCAACUCACACUGAUUGGGAGUGGCUGUCUAGAGAAUCAGUCACCUUGGGAAAGAUUUGGAAAAGAAAUCUUUAUCAUCAGAUGCCCCCGAAGAACUUGGCUCUGUGAAGACCAGUAACACGGUGCGAAUUGGCUUUCCGUAGCCCUGCAUGAAAAAUGAUGUUAAAUAGGCUAUGGGCA